rnacentral:lncRNA from 1 species
UAGUGUGAUCCAGUCUCAUUCAAGAGAGUAUCUUGUGUCCCCAACACCCUUACUUUGCAUUCCAUAUCCCCCAGGUACUGCAACCACUGAGUUCUAAAAUUGCAUACCAAUUACUUAUUGGAUACUGUAAUUUACAUAAUUUGAAUUUUAAUAUUUUCUCGAAAAGUUGAACUUUAUUUUUGUUAAAGCUUAUAACUUCAAUCUGCUUGGUUGUGAGAAUCUAAAAGGUGAGUGAAGUUUGCAUUUCUCCAAUUCUAUGGUUUUGUUGUGUUUCUCUUAUUUAGUGUUGGAUAAUGUGCUGCUGUUGGACAAAAGACCAAGCACUUGAUCUUGUAUGUUUCUUGUAUGUUUCUUUUAUAGGCUUGAAUGUUUUUUUUUAUAGGCUUGUCCUUAAUUUAAUUCUUUGUACAGAAAACAUGUGAAUCUCUCUGCCUUGAGUAUGAAUAUCCAAUCUUUUGUUUUGUGAUGUCAUGGGAAAUAGGCCAUGUGUGUGUUUACUUGAUUAGUGGCUUAGAGACAAUAAAGUGACUUCUAUAAUUAUUUGGAAUGUAUAUCUCACUAUUACAUUAUUUUGGCUUGUUAAGCAAUUUCUUACACCAUCGAAGUGGUUUUAAUGAAGCUACUACUAGUGUGGGGGAAGUAGUGUUGGUUCAACCUGCUCUUAAAUGCAAGGGAAAAGUGAUGAUGAUGAAGGUAUAGCUAUGUAUACAUAUGAAGAACUUGACUUGAAGGAUAAUUAGGUAUAAGAAUUUUGGUGUAUUAUUGUAAUUAGGCUUGCAGCUUGCAGCUAGCACCCCUAGAGUACUUUCAUUUUUUUUUAUUUUGUUUUGUUCUAUUGUACUCUUGAUAUUCCAUUUAUGAAAGAAACAAUACUUGAG